rnacentral:rRNA from 1 species
UACGUAGGGGGCAAGCGUUGUCCGGAUUUAUUGGGCGUAAAGAGCGUGUAGGCGGCCAGGUAGGUCCGCUGUGAAAACUCGAGGCUUAACCUCGAGCUGUCGGUGGAAACCAUCUGGCUAGAGUCCGGAAGAGGAGAACGGAAUUCCCGGGUGUAGCGGUGAAAUGCGCAGAUAUCGGGAAGAACACCCGUGGCGAAAGCGGCUCUCUGGAACGGUACUGACGCUGAGACGCGAAAGCGUGGGGAGCGAACGAGGA